UACGUAGGGGGCGAGCGUUGUCCGGAGUUACUGGGCGUAAAGCGCCCGCAGGCGGUCGGUCGCGUUUGAGGUUACAGCUCCUGGCUUAACUGGGAGAGCGUCUCAAAGACGGGCUGACUUGAGGACCAGAGAGGGACACGGAAUUCCGGGUGGAGUGGUGAAAAUGCGUAGAUAUCCGGAGGAACACCGAAGGCGAAGGCAGUGUCCUGGCUGGUCCCCUGAC
rnacentral:rRNA from 1 species